GGGUGCAAGCGUUGCUCGGAUUUACUGGGCGUAAAGCGUACGCAGACGGCUUGGUAGGUCGGAUGUGAAAGCCCCGGGCUCAACCCGGGAAUUGCAUCCGAAACCACCUCGCUCGAGUGUGGGAGAGGGAAGCGGAAUUCCUGGUGUAGAGGUGAAAUUCGUAGAUAUCAGGAGGAACACCGGCGGCGAAGGCGGCUUCCUGGCCCAUUACUGACGUUCAGGUACGAAAGCGUGGGUAGCAA
rnacentral:rRNA from 1 species